GACCACCGUGAAAUGAAGGGGAUGCAAUCAAAAACUUAGGGAAUGCUCGUACACAUGAUCUUCCCCGUCUAAUCUUAAUACGUGUUUCUAUUUUUAGAGCCGUGAUUGAACAAACGUAGCCAGCCCUAACUGGACCAGCAGCCACCUUCUUUCCUUACAAUUCUUGAAAGAAAACUUUCUGAGAUUAUAUGAAAGAAGACCUCAAAGCUCCAAAAGAUUAACAAUGUCGGCAGAAUUUUGUUCAUGAAAAAAUCAGUAUCUAACGGGGCAGAUUUUGGCGCUCCCUCGCUCUCUUUGUC
rnacentral:misc_RNA from 1 species